rnacentral:rRNA from 1 species
UACGUAGGGUGCAAGCGUUAAUCGGAAUUAUUGGGCGUAAAGCGCACGUAGGCGGCUUUUCAAGUCCCAUGUGAAAGCCCACGGCUCAACCGUGGAAGUGCAUGGGAAACUGGAAAGCUUGAGUACGAAAGAGGAUCGCGGAAUUCCCGGUGUAGAGGUGAAAUUCGUAGAUAUCGGGAGGAACACCAGUGGCGAAGGCGGCGAUCUGGGUCGAUACUGACGCUGAGGUGCGAAAGCGUGGGGAGCAAACAGG